UACGUAGGGUGCGAGCGUUGUCCGGAUUUAUUGGGCGUAAAGAGCUUGUAGGCGGCUCGUCACGUCGGGUGUGAAAACUCGCGGCUCAACCGCGAGCCUGCACCCGAUACGGGCGGGCUGGAGUUCGGCAGGGGAGACUGGAAUUCCUGGUGUAGCGGUGGAAUGCGCAGAUAUCAGGAGGAACACCGGUGGCGAAGGCGGGUCUCUGGGCCGAUACUGACGCUGAGAAGCGAAAGCGUGGGUAGCAAACAGG
rnacentral:rRNA from 1 species